AGCCAUGCCACCCUGAGUGUACCUGAGCUCGUCAGAUCUCAGAAGCUGAACAGGGCUGAACCUGGUAGGUGCU
rnacentral:rRNA from 1 species